rnacentral:rRNA from 1 species
UCAGUACAGGUGGUGCAUGGUUGUCGUCAGCUCGUGUCGUGAGAUGUUGGGUUAAGUCCCGCAACGAGCGCAACCCUCGACCUUAGUUGCCAGCAUUCAGUUGGGCACUCUAAGGUGACUGCCGGCUAAAAGUCGGAGGAAGGUGGGGAUGACGUCAAAUCAUCAUGCCCCUUAUGACCUGGGCUACACACGUGCUACAAUGGGCGGUACAAAGGGUCGCGAACCCGCGAGGGGGAGCCAAUCCCAAAAAGCCGCUCUCAGUUCGGAUUGCAGGCUGCAACUCGCCUGCAUGAAGCCGGAAUCGCUAGUAAUCGCGGAUCAGCAUGCCGCGGUGAAUACGUUCCCGGGCCUU